rnacentral:tRNA from 1 species
AGAAGAUUAGUUUAAGAAAAACAUUAACUUGUCAAGUUAAAAUUAUUUAACAAAAUAUAUUCUA